rnacentral:rRNA from 1 species
GCUCGUAGUUGGAUCUCGGCGGACAGAAGUCGGUCCGAAUGCUUUCGGUACUGGCUUGUCUGUCCGUGUGUUUUGCCAGAGGCAGGCGGGUGCUCUUCGCCGAGUGUCCGUCUGUGCUGGCAGGUUUACUUUGAAAAAAUUAGAGUGCUCAAAGCAAGCUCUCACGCUUGAAUAUUCGUGCAUGGAAUAAUAGAAUAGGAUGUCGUUUCUAUUUUGUUGGUUUUCGGAAAUCGACAUAAUGAUUAAUAGGGACAGUCGGGGGCAUUUGUAUUCAAACGACAGAGGUGAAAUUCUUGGACCGUUUGAAGACAAACUACUGCGAAAGCAUUUGCCAAGAAUGUUUUCAUUAAUCAAGAACGAAAGUUAGAGGUUCGAAGGCGAUUAGAUACCGCCCUAGUUCUAACCAUAAACGAUGCCAGCUAGCGAUCUGCAGGCGUUUUACUUUACGACCUUGCAGGGAGCUUCCGGGAAACCAAAGCUUGUGGGUUCCAGGGGAAGUAUGGUUGCAAAGCUGAAACUUAAAGGAAUUGACGGAAGGGCACCACCAGGAGUGGAGCCUGUGGCUUAAUUUGACUCAACACGGGAAAUCUCACCAGGCCCGGACACGAGAAGGAUUGACAGAUUGAUAGCUCUUUCUUGAUUUCGUGGGUGGUGGUGCAUGGCCGUUCUUAGUUGGUGGAGUGAUUUGUCUGGUUAAUUCCGAUAACGAACGAGACUCUGUCCUGCUAACUAGUGUCUGCUUCUUUUCUGAGCAGAUUAUUCUUCUUAGAGGGACUGGUAGCUCUUAGCUACACGAGAUUGGGCAAUAACAGGUCUGUGAUGUCCUUAGAUGUUCUGGGCCUGCACACGCGCUACACUGAAUGG